GUCUAUGGCCAUGUCACCCUGAACAAGCCUGAUGUCUGAUCUCGGAAGCUAAGCAGGGUCGGGCCUGGUUAGCACUUGUAUGGGAGACCACCUAGGAAGACCAAAUGCUAUAGGCA
rnacentral:rRNA from 1 species